GACGGAAACAGUGGCUAAGACUGGAUAGGAAGAUAAAAGGCAUCUUUUAUCUUUUAAAAGACCUAGUAAUAGGUAUGCUUUAGGAGGGGCUUGCGCCAUAUUAGUUAGUUGGUAGGGUAAUGGCCUACCAAGACGAUGAUGUGUAGCUGGACUGAGAGGUUGAACAGCCACAUUGGGACUGAGACACGGCCCAAACUCCUACGGGAGGCAGCAGUAGGGAAUUUUCGGCAAUGGAGGAAACUCUGACCGAGCAACGCCGCGUGAAUGACGAAGUACUUCGGUAUGUAAAGUUCUUUUAUCAAGGAAGAAAAGCAAAUGGCGAACCAUUUGUUUGCCGGUACUUGAUGAAUAAGCCCCGGCUAAUUAUGUGCCAGCAGCCGCGGUAAGACAUAAGGGGCAAGUGUUAUCCGGAAUUAUUGGGCGUAAAGGGUGCGUAGGCGGUCUAGUAAGUCAGUGGUGUAAUGGCAACGCUUAACGUUGUCCGGCUAUUGAAACUGCUAAACUUGAGUUAGAUAGAGGCGAGUGGAAUUCCAUGUGUAGCGGUAAAAUGCGUAAAUAUAUGGAGGAACACCAGAGGCGUAGGCGGCUCGCUGGGUCUUAACUGACGCUGAGGCACGAAAGCGUGGGGAGCAAACAGGAUUAGAUACCCUGGUAGUCCACGCCGUAAACGAUGAGUACUAAGUGUCGGGUUAAACCGGUACUGAAGUUAACACAUUAAGUACUCCGCCUGAGUAGUACGUACGCAAGUAUGAAACUUAAAGGAAUUGACGGGACUCCGCACAAGCGGUGGAUCAUGUUGUUUAAUUCGAAGAUACCCGAAAAACCUUACCAGGUCUUGACAUGUUUUUGCAAAAUGAUAGUAAUAUCGUGGAGGUUACCAGAAACACAGGUGGUGCAUGGUUGUCGUCAGCUCGUGUCGUGAGAUGUUAGGUUAAGUCCUAAAACGAGCGAAACCCUUAUCGUUAGUUGCCAGCACGUUAUGGUGGGGACUUUAACGAGACUGCCAAUGAUAAAUUGGAGGAAGGUGAGGAUCACGUCAAAUCAGCAUGCCCCUUAUGACCUGGGCUACAAACGUGAUACAAUGGCUGUUACAAAGGGUAGCUGAAACGCAAGUUCUUGGCCAAUCCCCAAAAACAGUCCCAGUCCGGAUUGAAGUCUGCAACUCGACUUCAUGAAGUUGGAAUCGCUAGUAAUCGCGAAUCAGCAUGUCGCGGUGAAUACGUUCUCGGGGUUUGUACACACCGCCCGUCAAA
rnacentral:rRNA from 1 species